rnacentral:rRNA from 1 species
UACGGGGGGAGCAAGCGUUGUUCGGAUUUACUGGGCGUAAAGGGCGCGUAGGCGGCCAGCACAAGUCAGUUGUGAAAUCUCCGAGCUUAACUCGGAACGGUCAACUGAUACUGUGCGGCUAGAGUGCGGAAGGGGCAACUGGAAUUCUUGGUGUAGCGGUGAAAUGCGUAGAUAUUCGGAGGAACACCAGUGGCGAAGGCGGCUCACUGGUCCGGUACUGACGCUGAGGUGCGAAAGCGUGGGGAGCAAACAGG